UGGGGAAUAUUGCGCAAUGGGCGGAAGCCUGACGCAGCGACGCCGCGUGGGGGAUGACGGCCUUCGGGUUGUAAACCUCUUUCAGCGGGGACGAAGCCUUUCGGGGUGACGGUACCUGCAGAAGAAGCGCCGGCUAACUACGUGCCAGCAGCCGCGGUAAUACGUAGGGCGCGAGCGUUGUCCGGAAUUAUUGGGCGUAAAGAGCUCGUAGGCGGUUUGUCGCGUCGGAUGUGAAAGCCCACGGCUUAACUGUGGGUCUGCAUUCGAUACGGGCAGACUAGAGGCAGGUAGGGGAGCAUGGAAUUCCCGGUGUAGCGGUGAAAUGCGCAGAUAUCGGGAGGAACACCGGUGGCGAAGGCGGUGCUCUGGGCCUUGCCUGACGCUGAGGAGCGAAAGCGUGGGGAGCGAACA
rnacentral:rRNA from 1 species